rnacentral:rRNA from 1 species
UACAGGUCUCUUUCGAGGCCCUGUAAUUGGAAUGAGCGUAUCCUAAACCCAUGGGUGAGGACCCAUUGGAGGGCAAGUCUGGUGCCAGCAGCCGCGGUAAUUCCAGCUCCAAUAGCGUAUAUUAAAGUUGCUGCAGUUAAAAAGCUCGUAGUUGGAUCUCGGGAGAGGGCUGGCGGUCCGCCGCGAGGUGAGCCACCGCCUGUCCCGCACCCUGCCUCCCGGCGCUCCCCGGAUGUCCUUAACUGGAUGUCCGGCGGGGUCCAGAGCGUUUACUUUGAAAAAAUUAGAGUGUUCAAAGCAGGCUUGCCUCGCCUGAAUACUGCAGCUAGGAAUAAUGGAAUAGGACUCCGGUUCUAUUUUGUGGGUUUCCGGAACCAGGGCCAUGAUUAAGAGGGACGGCCGGGGGCAUUCGUAUUGCGCCGCUAGAGGUGAAAUUCUUGGACCGGCGCAAG